AAGCUAAGCCAUUCUCAACUAAUGUGUAACGCACUCAUAAUUUCCAGCUAACCAAAAGCUAACAAUUUGAUCUUGCUCACAUGUAGCUUUCAAUUAAUGACUUUUUUUUGGGGGGUUGGGGGGGGAGGAAAGACCACAACUUCAUUAAACCAACAAAACAAAUUUACAACAAAGUGGUCAAAUUACAAUAAACACAGGAUAUAGAUAGGAGUAAUGCUAGGGAGACUAUUUGUAUACAAAAUUUUGCAUACUAAAUGACAUGGAAGUUGAUAAUUGAAUUAUUACUUAAGUAUUGAUAAACGUACUCAUUUCUUAUUGGUGACACAUUAUUUAGUUUGCAAAUUUUAUUUACAAAUUUAAUCUCCCUAGCAUUACUCGAUAUAUAUGAACCCCCAAAUUACAGCCCAACAAAAAGUUGUGAGUCAAGACAAAGAAAAACCGAAAAACCCUAAAAACUUGCAUCCUCUGCUGUCGUCGAAAAAAAUUAAGAUUCCAAUUAGUGACAUUUGGCAGCUUGUUAAGCACUCGAGCCAAUUAUACAAUCAAUUAGAACCAUUUUAGUAUAUGCCAUCAUUACUCUUAUAUGCAAAUGAACAAUGUUCUCCAAAACUUCAAAUGGAACUACAAGAAAUAUGGGCAAUAGUUGCCAUCUUUAUUACCC
rnacentral:lncRNA from 1 species